UUUAUUGGCCCGCUUUUUGGGCUCUGUGGGUCCCACAACCACUGUUCAAUUUUUCGAGACCCGCGCCUCCUUUUUCGUCGGUUCUGUGGGACCAAUUUGCUGAUUUUUUUUCUCGUUGAUUCCGAUAGAACGGAAGAGAGCGAAGAGAGAGAGACAGAGAGAGAGAGAGAGAGUGGUGAUUUCAUCGGGGAAAGAGGAGGCGAUCUCGCCGCGCCGUCGAGCUGGGGAUUUCUCCGCGCCGUCGCGGCGGCGCCGAAGCGACGAGUAGGCGGUUCACUGGCAUUUGCUAGAUUUGUGGUUUUGUCGAGCGGUUGUGGUUGUGGUUGUGGGGUGGAAGGGGGAGAAAUCCGCCGGGGUGACGAGCGUGGAAGAGGCCAUCCAGACGGCGACAAGGCCAGCGCCACCAAGACGGCGGUGGCAGUGGAGGGGGAGCAGAAUGAGGAGUGA
rnacentral:lncRNA from 1 species